GGGCCCGCACAAGCGGUGGAGCAUGUGGUUUAAUUCGAUGAUACGCGAGGAACCUUACCAGGGCUUAAAUGUAGAGCGACAGAGGUGGAAACACCUCCUUCUUCGGACGGUCUACAAGGUGCUGCAUGGUUGUCGUCAGCUCGUGCUGUGAAGUGUCGGGUUAAGUCCCAUAACGAGCGCAACCCCUAUUUCUAGUUGCCAGCGGUUCGGCCGGGGACUCUAGAGAAACUGCCGGUGCAAACCGAGAGGAAGGUGGGGAUGACGUCAAAUCAUCACGGCCCUUACGUCCUGGGCCACACACGUGCUACAAUGGCCGGUACAGAGAGCAGCCACUACGCGAGUAGGAGCGAAUCUACAAAACCGGUCUCAGUUCGGAUCGCAGUCUGCAACUCGACUGCGUG
rnacentral:rRNA from 1 species